AACGCACCUUGCACCCUUUGGUAUCCCAAAGGGUACACCCGUUUGAGCGUCAUUGUAAUCUCACCAUCCAACUCUUUGUUGGCAUGCUGUGGAUUUGGAUGUUGUCAUGUCACAAUGACUCGUCUGAAAUGCCUGAGUACAUCCUGGAUUUGUGAUGUGUUCGGUGUGAUAAACUUUCACCGUCUUUGAUCCCAGCGGUCACACUCACUUGACCUAAGGCCCUGUGCUUCCAACCGUCUCAAUCAGACAAUUUGACAAUUUGACCUCAAAUCGGGUGGGACUACCCGCUGAACUUAA
rnacentral:misc_RNA from 1 species